AAUGAACGUUGGCGGCGUGGAUUAGGCAUGCAAGUCGAGCGCGAUGAGUUUGGUAGCUUGCUAUUGAACUCGGAAAGCGGCGAAAGGGAGAGUAACGCGUAGUUACGUGCCCCAGGGUUCGGAAUAGCCACGGGAAACUGUGGGUAAUGCCGAAUAACAUCUCCGGAUCAAAGGUGUGAUUCCGCCCUGGGAGCGGACUGCGUCCUACUAGCGAGUUGGCGGGGUAAUGGCCCACCAAGGCAACAAUGGGUAGCGGGUGUGAGAGUAUGACCCGUCUCACUGGGACUGAGACACUGCCCAGACACCUACGGGUGGCUGCAGUCGAGAAUCUUCGGCAAUGGGCGAAAGCCUGACCGAGCGACGCCGCGUGCGGGAUGAAGGCCCUCGGGUUGUAAACCGCUGUCGUAGGGGAGGAAGGCUCUGUGAAGAACAGGGUUUGACCUAUCCUAGAAGAAGCCCCGGCUAACUUCGUGCCAGCAGCCGCCGCGGUAA
rnacentral:rRNA from 1 species